rnacentral:rRNA from 1 species
AUUGAACGCUGGCGGCAGGCCUAACACAUGCAAGUCGAGCGGGGUUUUCGGACCUAGCGGCGGACGGGUGAGUAAUGCGUAGGAAGCUACCCGAUAGAGGGGGAUACCAGUUGGAAACGACUGUUAAUACCGCAUAAUGUCUACGGACCAAAGUGUGGGACCUUCGGGCCACAUGCUAUCGGAUGCGCCUACGUGGGAUUAGCUAGUUGGUGAGGUAAUGGCUCACCAAGGCGACGAUCCCUAGCUGGUUUGAGAGGAUGAUCAGCCACACUGGAACUGAGACACGGUCCAGACGCCUACGGGGGGCAGCAGUGGGGAAUAUUGGACAAUGGGCGCAAGCCUGAUCCAGCCAUGCCGCGUGUGUGAAGAAGGCCUUCGGGUUGUAAAGCACUUUCAGUAGGGAGGAAGCGUUGUGUGUUAAUAGUACACAGCGUUGACGUUACCUACAGAAGAAGCACCGGCUAACUCUGUGCCAGCCGCCGCGGUAAGAC